ACGUAGGGAGCGAGCGUUGUCCGGAAUUACUGGGCGUAAAGGGCGCGUAGGCGGGUCAUUAAGUCAGAUGUGAAAGCCCCGGGCUUAAAUCGGGGAGUGCAUUUGAAACUAAUUAUCUUGAGGGCAGGAGAGGAAAGGGGAAUCCCUAGUGGAGCGUUAGAAGGCGUAGAUAUAGGAGGAACACCAGUGGCGAAGGCGACUUUCUGGACUGUACCUGACGCUGAGGCGCGAAAGCAUGGGGAGCAAACGG
rnacentral:rRNA from 1 species